rnacentral:rRNA from 1 species
GAUGAACGCUGGCGGCGUGCCUAAUACAUGCAAGUCGAGCGAACAGACGAGGAGCUUGCUCCUCUGACGUUAGCGGCGGACGGGUGAGUAACACGUGGAUAACCUACCUAUAAGACUGGGAUAACUUCGGGAAACCGGAGCUAAUACCGGAUAAUAUAUUGAACCGCAUGGUUCAAUAGUGAAAGACGGUUUUGCUGUCACUUAUAGAUGGAUCCGCGCCGCAUUAGCUAGUUGGUAAGGUAACGGCUUACCAAGGCAACGAUGCGUAACCGACCUGAGAGGGUGAUCGGCCACACUGGAACUGAGACACGGUCCCGACUCCUACGGGAGGCAGCAAUAGGGAAUCUUCCGCAAUGGGCGAAAGCCUGACGGAGCAACGCCGCGUGAGUGAUGAAGGUCUUCGGAUCGUAAAACUCUGUUAUUAGGGAAGAACAAAUGUGUAAGUAACUAUGCACGUCUUGACGGUACCUAAUCAGAAAGCCACGGCUAACUACGUG